UACGUAGGGGGCAAGCGUUGUCCGGAAUCAUUGGGCGUAAAGCGCGUGUAGGCGGUUCGAUAAGUCUGCUGUGAAAGUCCAGGGCUCAACCCUGGGAUGCCGGUGGAUACUGUCGGGCUAGAGUGCGGAAGAGGCGAGUGGAAUUCCCGGUGUAGCGGUGAAAUGCGCAGAAUAUCGGGAGGAACACCAAUUGCGAAGGCAGCUCGCUGGGACGUUACUGACGCUGAGACGCGAAAGCGUGGGGAGCAAACAGG
rnacentral:rRNA from 1 species